AACGGCCAUGCCAUGCUGAAUAUACCGGUUCUCGUUAGAUCACCGAAGUCAAGCAUCAUUGGGCGCGGUCAGUACUUGGGUGGGUGACCCACUGGGAACACCGCGUGCCGUU